CACCGCAAAGCUGAAGAAGCCGUGAAAGGCCUGUGGGCCUCCUUGUUUCAUUAUUCCAUGUGGAUAGUUCGUGACAAUACAACUACAGGUAAAAGCCUCAUGAAUUGCUCUUUCGACACCACAUAUUUUAUUCGCCUGAGCGACGACGCGUCCCAAAUCAUCCACCAUGGCUCCUCCGGCUGGCGGGAAGCGUAAACGCGGCGAUAGGUCAUGGUCCGGAGAUGCGGGAAACGAUGGCCCGCGACCGUCUCCUCAUCGUCCUGGAAAUCUCAACCUGGCCCAGCAGCAACAACAAUACCAGUUCCAUGGCCAAGGUCGGGAUUCGCAGGAUAACCGUGGCAGAGGGGCCAGAAGAACAAGCAGAGGCAAU
rnacentral:sRNA from 2 species